UGGCAUAUGUUCCAUAUGCAAGGUCCCGCUAUCACGCCUAUCCAGAGCCUUACUACCGUGGUGGUCGAGUGCUAUAUCCACACGCUGAACCAUUUUAUCCACAUGCUGAGCCUUAUUAUCCACGAGCUGAACCAUUUUAUCCACAUGCUGAGCCUUAUUACCAUCGCCGUCACGUCAUUGGGUAGAUGGAUUAUGAAAGAUGAAGUGAAGCAGUUACAGAUGCUGCUACAUUUACGGAAAUGCUUCUAAAACUUUGAAUAAAACAAGUCUUAAUUCUUA